UCGCACGGAGCACCCCGGGCUUUGCUGAGAAACUUUGUGACGACGGAAGCCCCAAUGCUCGUGCCAUAUGGAUUCGCCGUUCUGUGUUGCAGAUCUGUUCACGAAUUCUAACGACUGAUCUGUGUCAAAGUAACGGCUAAAUUU